GAGGUGGGAUGACGUCAAGUCCUCAUGGCCCUUAUGGGUAGGGCUUCACACGUGCUACAAUGGUGGUGACAAUGGGUUAAUCCCAAAAAGCCAUCUCAGUUCGGAUUGGGGUCUGCAACUCGACCCCAUGAAGUCGGAAUCGCUAGUAAUCGCGUAACAGCAUGACGCGGUGAAUACGUUCCCGGACCUU
rnacentral:rRNA from 1 species